ensembl:lncRNA
UCUUUGCCAGCCCUUUGCAUUCCAAAUGCUGUAUAACCCAAUACAGGAUAAGAAGAUUGACAUUAAAUUUGUGUUUGAGAAGUGAAUGGUUUCUGGCAUACCGAGGUCAAAUACAAAGAAAAACUACACCAUGCAAGUAAACUACAACACAGAGACUUCAGCAGAUUCCCCUGUUUACAGAGUUAUAUAAAAAUAGGCCUCCUAGUAAUUACUAUUUAUUAAUAGAAAUUACUUUAUUUAUAGUAUAUUUUGUUUAAUAGAGAAGCAUAAAUUGUCCUUGCUUUUUAAACACAUAUAUUGUAAUGUAUAUCAUACAGAUGGCUGUGUAAUUCUUUCUAAUGCCAGAUAAAAUAUGCUACUGAAUAGCACACUCAUUGCAUAUUAAACUGAAAAUUCUGUAGCACAAGCAGUGGUGCAUAAUUUGAGAACAAUAAAAGCAGUGUGGAGUUAUGAAUCAUGACAAGGUUUAUAGAUUUCUGAUCUGUAAAAAUUUGUUUUUAUACUCUCUCCUUAGCUAGCAUUUGAACUUUUGAUCUGGGUUUGCUAAAUGAACACAACCAAAAUAUACUGUUUUUAUUUAUGGGUGCAUAUGGAAACAUUUCAUUGUUUCUAAAUUUGGUUCUGUGUAUACAUUCAGAAGGUUGGGUUUUUUUCUCCUUGUCCUUACUCUUUGUUUUAUUGCCCAGGUCUAGGAUCACAAACUUGGUAAUUCCUCCUCUAAAUGCCUUUGAAUUACCUACUACUUCUCAUUGCACUUUUUUUUUGGUAUUCCAAGUGCAUACAUUUGGAUUUAUCUACAUUGGAGUUUAUUUAUCUAUAUUUGGGUUUUGUUUGGUAUUCCCAUUCCUCUCUCUCUCCUUCCAGUUUACUAGAAGAGAGGUUUAUAUAUGGAACAGUCUAUUUAAAAAUAAAACCCAGUAACAUACACUUAAAAACUAUGUUCUUUUCUAUGAAUUCAAUACUCCUUAAAUCUCUAGUAGCACAAGCAACCUGCAUUGGGCAAAAAAAAAAAAAAAAAAAGUGUUUGUAGAGAAUGUAAUUUCUAAAAGAACCAGAACAAUAAUAACUUCAGCAUUGUAUUGUGACGGGAGAAUGUACUCAGACAAUGGUCUACAUCAGCUAAUGGAAUGCUAAAAAGCAAAAUUAUUAGCAUUACUGUCAUCGCUCACAGCAUUGUUAAUCCAGAUUAACAGUCAAUGGGCUCAACACCUGGAAAAGAAAUAAUAAAGAAGCAGCUUCUGUUGAAUGGGUUGUGACAUGAAAAGGAAUUAGCUCCCAAUGCUGUUAUCGCCACUGCAGCUACUUACUGGGCCUGGCAAUUACAGCAAAGAUUGAUAGUACUUGGUAGCAAACUGAUUGCUUUAUUGGCACGUGUCUGAUAAAUACACACUAAUCCAUUAAACCAAUGUCACAAUUGAUUCUUAGGCAAAAUGCAGAAGAAAAUCCAGGCACUAAUCACCUCUAACUAUCAUAAAGAAAACACAAUGGCUUAUUAAUGAAUUCCAUUAUGGUGGGAUAAAUAUAGCUAAUGCCAUCAAAUUUAUUAUAUGCAGAAUACUACUCCUGAAUAUCAAUAUGUUGGAAGAAAACUAUUCACUAUUUCACAUGUGAAAAAGUCUGUGCUGGAUUUUGCCACAACCAAUAAUCAACAGCUGUUUUCAGUUUGAAUGACUU